rnacentral:misc_RNA from 1 species
GGUCCAACCUCCCACCCGUGUUUAUUUUACCUUGUUGCUUCGGCGGGCCCGCCUUUACUGGCCGCCGGGGGGCUUCACGCCCCCGGGCCCGCGCCCGCCGAAGACACCCUCGAACUCUGUCUGAAGAUUGAAGUCUGAGUGAAAAUAUAAAUUAUUUAAAACUUUCAACAACGGAUCUCUUGGUUCCGGCAUCGAUGAAGAACGCAGCGAAAUGCGAUACGUAAUGUGAAUUGCAAAUUCAGUGAAUCAUCGAGUCUUUGAACGCACAUUGCGCCCCCUGGUAUUCCGGGGGGCAUGCCUGUCCGAGCGUCAUUGCUGCCCUCAAGCCCGGCUUGUGUGUUGGGCCCCGUCCUCCGAUUCCGGGGGACGGGCCCGAAAGGCAGCGGCGGCACCGCGUCCGGUCCUCGAGCGUAUGGGGCUUUGUCACCCGCUCCGUAGGCCCGGCCGGCGCUUGCCGAUCAACCCAAAUUUUUAUCCAGGUUGACCUCGGAUCAGGUAGGGAUACCCGCUGAACUUAAGCAUAUCAAUAAGCGGAGGA